rnacentral:RNase_P_RNA from 1 species
CGGAGCAAGACCGAAUAGGGGAGUGUUUGAGGGCGGCCCGCCCGAGACUCCCGGGUUGGUUGCUUGAGGCCGUCGGCAACGACGGUCCUAGAGGAAUGGUCGCCACCCCGCCAAGGGCAACCACAGCGGGGGACAGAACCCGGCUUAAGGCCCUCUCCGGCCA